UUAAAGGUCUCUCGAAUGCAUUUAUUUUGCAAAGUGAAAAAAACAUAUAAAACUGAAGAUACUCUUAAAAGUUCAUCCGAAGUACCGGGUCGUUGACAACAUUAGAUGAGCAAAGGACAGAAACAGCACCUAUAUAUCUACUAGCAAGAAAAAAAAGACUAUGCACAAGUUGCAAGAAAUAACAUAAAUAAAUCAUAGGAGUGGGUAUUCUUUUUCAUAUAAACACUAAAGAAGAAAU
rnacentral:lncRNA from 1 species